rnacentral:rRNA from 1 species
UUGAACGCUGGCGGCAGGCCUAACACAUGCAAGUCGAGCGGAUGAAGGGAGCUUGCUCCUGGAUUCAGCGGCGGACGGGUGAGUAAUGCCUAGGAAUCUGCCUGGUAGUGGGGGAUAACGUCCGGAAACGGGCGCUAAUACCGCAUACGUCCUGAGGGAGAAAGUGGGGGAUCUUCGGACCUCACGCUAUCAGAUGAGCCUAGGUCGGAUUAGCUAGUUGGUGGGGUAAAGGCCUACCAAGGCGACGAUCCGUAACUGGUCUGAGAGGAUGAUCAGUCACACUGGAACUGAGACACGGUCCAGACUCCUACGGGAGGCAGCAGUGGGGAAUAUUGGACAAUGGGCGAAAGCCUAAUCCAGCCAUGCCGCGUGUGUGAAGAAGGUCUUCGGAUUGUAAAGCACUUUAAGUUGGGAGGAAGGGCAGUAAGUUAAUACCUUGCUGUUUUGACGUUACCAACAGAAUAAGCACCGGCUAACUUCGUG